GAUGAACGCUGGCGGCGUGCCUAAUACAUGCAAGUCGAGCGAACGGACGAGAAGCUUGCUUCUCUGAUGUUAGCGGCGGACGGGUGAGUAACACGUGGAUAACCUACCUAUAAGACUGGGAUAACUUCGGGAAACCGGAGCUAAUACCGGAUGAUAUUUUGAACCGCAUGGUUCAAUAGUGAAAGACGGUCUUGCUGUCACUUAUAGAUGGAUCCGCGCUGCAUUAGCUAGUUGGUAAGGUAACGGCUUACCAAGGCAACGAUGCAUAGCCGACCUGAGAGGGUGAUCGGCCACACUGGAACUGAGACACGGUCCAGACUCCUACGGGAGGCAGCAGUAGGGAAUCUUCCGCAAUGGGCGAAAGCCUGACGGAGCAACGCCGCGUGAGUGAUGAAGGUCUUCGGAUCGUAAAACUCUGUUAUUAGGGAAGAACAUAUGUGUAAGUAACUGUGCACAUCUUGACGGUACCUAAUCAGAAAGCCACGGCUAACUACG
rnacentral:rRNA from 1 species